AGGACGUCUACGAGUUUGAUCAUGGCUCAGAACGAACGCUGGCGGCAUGCCUAACACAUGCAAGUCGAACGAAGGCUUCGGCCUUAGUGGCGCACGGGUGCGUAACGCGUGGGAACCUGCCCCUCGGUUCGGAAUAACAGUUAGAAAUGACUGCUAAUACCGGAUGAUGACUUCGGUCCAAAGAUUUAUCGCCGAGGGAUGGGCCCGCGUAGGAUUAGCUAGUUGGUGGGGUAAAGGCCUACCAAGGCGGCGAUCCUUAGCUGGUCUGAGAGGAUGAUCAGCCACACUGGGACUGAGACACGGCCCAGACUCCUACGGGAGGCAGCAGUGGGGAAUAUUGGACAAUGGGCGAAAGCCUGAUCCAGCAAUGCCGCGUGAGUGAUGAAGGCCUUAGGGUUGUAAAGCUCUUUUACCAGGGAUGAUAAUGACAGUACCUGGAGAAUAAGCUCCGGCUAACUCCGUG
rnacentral:rRNA from 1 species